rnacentral:rRNA from 1 species
CGUGACGGCGCGAGCAGGUGCGAAAGCAGGUCAUAGUGAUCCGGUGGUUCUGAAUGGAAGGGCCAUCGCUCAACGGAUAAAAGGUACUCCGGGGAUAACAGGCUGAUACCGCCCAAGAGUUCAUAUCGACGGCGGUGUUUGGCACCUCGAUGUCGGCUCAUCACAUCCUGGGGCUGAAGUAGGUCCCAAGGGUAUGGCUGUUCGCCAUUUAAAGUGGUACGCGAGCUGGGUUUAGAACGUCGUGAGACAGUUCGGUCCCUAUCUGCCGUGGGCGCUGGAGAACUGAGGGGGGCUGCUCCUAGUACGAGAGGACCGGAGUGGACGCAUCACUGGUGUUCGGGUUGUCAUGCCAAUGGCACUGCCCGGUAGCUAAAUGCGGAAGAGAUAAGUGCUGAAAGCAUCUAAGCACGAAACUUGCCCCGAGAUGAGUUCUCCCUGAGACUUAGAGUCUCCUGAAGGAACGUUGAAGACGACGACG